CACGGAGUUAGCCGGUGCUUAUUCCUCUGGUACCGUCAAACACUUUAGAAAAAUGCAUUUCUUCCCAGAUAAAAGGAGUUUACAACCCAGAGGGCAGUCAUCCUCCACGCGGCAUGGCUGGUUCAGACUUGCGUCCAUUGACCAAUAUUCCUUACUGCUGCCUCCCGUAGGAGUCGGGCCCGUGUCUCAGUGCCCGUGUGACUGGUCGUGCUCUCACACCAGUUACUGAUCGUAGGCUUGGUGGGCCGUUACCCCGCCAACUACCUAAUCAGGCGCACGCCCAUCUUUAAGCGCCGGAGCUAUAAUUAUCAGGUGAUGCCACCCAAAAAUAUUACGAGGUAUUAAAUCCAAGUUUCCCUGGGCUAUUCCUCACUUAAAGGAAGGUUGCGUACGUGUUCCGCACCCGUUUGCCGGUCGCCACCCAGUAUUGCUACCUGUGCUGCCCCUCGACUUGCAUGUAUUAAGCCUGCCGCUAGCGUUCAUCCUGAGCCAGGAUCAAACUCU
rnacentral:rRNA from 1 species